rnacentral:misc_RNA from 1 species
UUUCCGUAGGUGAACCUGCGGAAGGAUCAUUAAAGAAUUUGCCCCGUCCUCUCGAGGAUGGGUCCUCUUCUAAACCGUGUAUACAUACCUUUGUUGCUUUGGCGGGCCGCCGUCUCGGCGUUGGCUUCGGCUGACUGUGCCCGCCAGAGAACCCCAACUCUUCUGUUUAGUAUUGUCUGAGUACUAUAUAAUAGUUAAAACUUUCAACAACGGAUCUCUUGGUUCUGGCAUCAAUGAAGAACGCAGC